AUGAAUCAAAACUUUCAACAACGGAUCUCUUGGUUCUGGCAUCGAUGAAGAACGCAGCGAAAUGCGAUAAGUAAUGUGAAUUGCAGAAUUCAGUGAAUCAUCGAAUCUUUGAACGCACAUUGCGCCCUCUGGUAUUCCAGAGGGCAUGCCUGUUCGAGCG
rnacentral:rRNA from 1 species